UACGAAGGGGCUAGCGUUGCUCGGAAUUACUGGGCGUAAAGCGCACGUAGGCGGAUCUUUAAGUCAGGGGUGAAAUCCUGGAGCUCAACUCCAGAACUGCCUUUGAUACUGAGGACCUUGAGUUCGGGAGAGGUGAGUGGAACUGCCGAGUGUAGAGGUGAAAUUCGUAGAUAUUCGCAAGAACACCAGUGGCGAAGGCGGCUCACUGGCCCGAGUACUGACGCUGAGGUGCGAAAGCGUGGGGA
rnacentral:rRNA from 1 species